rnacentral:rRNA from 1 species
AUGCCUGGAGAUCUUAGCCAGUGGAUAAUGAAGCAUUAUGACCCUGAGAUUUUGCAGAUAGUCAUUCCAGAAAGGGGGGAGAUUCCUGUAGAUGCCGCAAGUGUCCGUAGGAUAUGGGGUUUGCCAAAUAGGGGCAGGAAGUUGUUGUAUUUGGACUCUUUGGACGUUGAUGAGCCAAUCCCGAACUUGGUACCAUGGGUUUCAGUUUGGAAUUCAGAUUUAAUUUCCAAAGUUAUCAAGAAGGACAGGAAGGCUCCGGGAGAAUAUGGCAAAUUGCGGGGGAGCACGACAAAUGGUGGAUCACCACGAGGGGGCAAGUGUUGA